GAUGAAGAACGUAGCGAAAUGCGAUAAGUAGUGUGAAUUGCAGAAUUCAGUGAAUCAUCGAAUCUUUGAACGCACAUUGCGCCCUUUGGUAUUCCUUAGGGCAUGCCUGUUCGAGCGUCAUUUAAACCUUCAAGCUCAGCUUGGUGUUGGGUGACUGUCCGCUUCACCGCGGACUCGCCUCAAAAUUAUUGGCGGCCGGUACAUUGGCUUCGAGCGCAGCAGAAACGCGAACUCGGGCCCGUCGUAUUGGCUCCCAGAAGCUAUCUUCACUAUUUUGACCUCGGAUCAGGUAGGGAUACCCGCUGAACUUAAGCAUAUCAAUAAGCGGAGGA
rnacentral:misc_RNA from 1 species